rnacentral:tRNA from 1 species
CGGGGCGUAGCGCAGCUUGGCUAGCGCAUCUGCUUUGGGAGCAGAGGGUCGCACGUUCGAAUCGUGUCGCCCCGACCA